CCGGCAGUAGCUCAGUGGUGGAGCUCCCGCUUUGCAUGCGGGAAGACCUGGGUUGGUUCGAUUCCCGGCUGCUUGC
rnacentral:tRNA from 1 species